rnacentral:rRNA from 2 species
AAUUUUAAGGUCAAGCUACAAAGGGCGCAUGGUGAAUGCCUUGGCACUAGGAGCCGAAGAAGGACGCGAUAAGCUGCGAUAAGCCUUGGGUAGCCGCAAAUAGGCUGAGAUCCAGGGAUUUCCGAAUGAGGAAACUCACAUGGGUAACCCCAUGUAUCAUGCACUGAAUACAUAGGUGUAUGAGGGUAAACCCGGGGAACUGAAACAUCUAAGUACCCGGAGGAAGAGAAAGAAAAAUCGAU